rnacentral:rRNA from 1 species
UGAAUACGAGAUGCUACGGCGUCGAAGCAGUGUAUGUCAGACUUCCAAGAAAAGCUCGCAAUGUCAUAAAUAAAGAAUGCCUGUACCAUAACCGACACAGGUGGGUAGGUAGAGUAUACUAAGGGGCGCGAGAUAACUCUCUCUAAGGAACUCGGCAAAAUAACUCCGUAACUUCGGGAGAAGGAGUGCCUUCUUUAAGAAGGUUGCAAUAACAAGAUCCAAGCAACUGUUUAUCAAAAACACAGGUCUCCGCUAAGUCGUAAGACGAUGUAUGGGGGCUGACGCCUGCCCAGUGCCAGAAGGUUAAAGAAGCUGGUUAGCAAUAGCGAAGCUGGUGACUGAAGCCCUGGUGAACGGCGGCCGUAACUAUAACGGUCCUAAGGUAGCGAAAUUCCUUGUCGGGUAAGUUCCGACCCGCACGAAAGGCGUAAUGAUUUGGAUACUGUCUCGGAGAGGGACUCGGUGAAAUAGACUUGUCUGUGAAGAUGCGGACUACCUGCACCAGGACAGAAAGACCCUAUGAAGCUUUACUGUAACCUGAAAUUGAAAUUGGACUUUAUUUGCGCAGUAUAGGUGGGAGGCGUUGAAAGUAACCUUGCGGGAUUAGUGGAGCCAUCAGUGAGAUACCACUCCUAUAAUGUUAGAUUUCUAACUUUGGAUCAUGAUCUGGUCAAAGAACAGUUUCAGGCGGGCAGUUUGACUGGGGCGGUCGCCUCCCAAAUGGUAACGGAGGCGUACAAAGGUUUCCUCUGAACGGGUAGAAAUCGUAUCUAGAGUGUAAAGGCAUAAGGAAGCUUGACUGUGAGACCUACAAGUCGAGCAGGGACGAAAGUCGGUCUUAGUGAUCUGACGGUGCUGAGUGGAAAGGCCGUCACUCAACGGAUAAAAGUUACUCUAGGAUAACAGGCUGAUCUCCCCCAAGAGUUCACAUCGACGGGGAGGUUUGGCACCUCGAUGUCGGCUCAUCGCAUCCUGGGGCGGUAGUACGUCCCAAGGGUUGGGCUGUUCGCCCAUGAAAGCGGUACGCGAGCUGGGUUCAGAACGUCGUGAGACAGUUCGGUCCAUAUCCGGUGUAGGCGUUAGAAUAUUGAGAGGAGCCUUCUCUAGUACGAGAGGACCGAGAAGGACAUACCUCUGGUGUACCAGUUAUCGUGCCAACGGUAAACGCUGGGUAGCUAUGUAUGGAGAGGAUAACCGCUGAAAGCAUCUAAGUGGGAAGCCCACCUCAAGAUGAGUAUUCUCU